rnacentral:rRNA from 1 species
AGAGUUUGAUCAUGGCUCAGGACGAACGCUGGCGGCGUGCUUAACACAUGCAAGUCGAACGAGGUUAUUUUGAUGAGAUCUUCGGAUGGAUUUGAAAUAACCGAGUGGCGGACGGGUGAGUAACGCGUGAGCAACCUGUCUUCUACAGGGGGAUAACGCUCCGAAAGGAGUGCUAAUACCGCAUAAGACCACGGAGCCGCAUGGUUAUGAGGUCAAAGGAGAGAUCCGGUAGAAGGUGGGCUCGCGUCCCAUUAGAUAGUUGGUGAGGUAACGGCUCACCAAGUCGACGAUGGGUAGCCGACCUGAGAGGGUGAUCGGCCACAUUGGAACUGAGAUACGGUCCAGACUCCUACGGGAGGCAGCAGUGGGGAAUAUUGGGCAAUGGGCGAAAGCCUGACCCAGCAACGCCGCGUGAGGGAAGAAGGUCUUCGGGUUGUAAACCUCUGUCCUUGGUGAAAAGGAAGGAUGGUAGCCAAGGAGGAAGCCCCGGCUAACUACGUGCCAGCAGCCGCGGUAAUACGUAGGGGGCGAGCGUUGUCCGGAAUGAUUGGGCGUAAAGGGCGUGUAGGCGGCUGUAUAAGUCUGGAGUGAAAGUCCUGUUUUCAAGAUGGGAAUUGCUUUGGAUACUGUACAGCUUGAGUGCAGGAGAGGUUAUCGGAAUUCCCGGUGUAGCGGUGAAAUGCGUAGAGAUCGGGAGGAACACCAGUGGCGAAGGCGGGUAACUGGACUGCAACUGACGCUGAGGCGCGAAAGUGUGGGGAGCAAACAGGAUUAGAUACCCUGGUAGUCCACACUGUAAACGAUGAAUGCUAGGUGUAGGGGGUAUCGACCCCUUCUGUGCCGCAGUCAACACAAUAAGCAUUCCGCCUGGGGAGUACGGCCGCAAGGUUGAAACUCAAAGGAAUUGACGGGGGCCCGCACAAGCAGCGGAGCAUGUGGUUUAAUUCGACGCAACGCGAAGAACCUUACCAGGUCUUGACAUCCAGUAAAAGCAUCAGAGAUGAUGUGUGAGCUUGCUCGUACUGAGACAGGUGGUGCAUGGUUGUCGUCAGCUCGUGUCGUGGGAUGUUGGGUUAAGUCCCGCAACGAGCGCAACCCCUGUUACUAGUUGCCAUCAUUAAGUUGGGCACUCUAGUGAGACUGCCGGGGACAACCCGGAGGAAGGCGGGGAUGACGUCAAAUCAUCAUGCCCCUUAUGUUCUGGGCGACACACGUGCUACAAUGGCUGUCACAGAGGGAUGCGAAGGAGCGAUCCGGAGCGAAACCCUAAAGGCAGUCCCAGUUCGGACUGCAGGCUGAAACCCGCCUGCACGAAGUCGGAGUUGCUAGUAAUCGCGGAUCAGAAUGCCGCGGUGAAUGCGUUCCCGGGUCUUGUACACACCGCCCGUCACACCAUGGAAGCUGGGGGUGCCCGAAGUCGGUCGCUAAUCAGACUGCCUAAGGCAAAACCAGUGACUGGGGUGAAGUCGUAACAAGGUAGCCGUA